AUUACCUCAGUAACGGCGAGUGAAGCGGUAAAAGCUCAAAUUUGAAAUCUGGCUCUUUUAGAGUCCGAAUUGUAAUUUGUAGAAGAUGCUUCGGGUGUGGUUCCGGUCUAAGUUCCUUGGAACAGGACGUCAUAGAGGGUGAGAAUCCCGUAUGUGACUGGAUACCUAUGCUCAUGUGAAGCUCUUUCGACGAGUCGAGUUGUUUGGGAAUGCAGCUCAAAAUGGGAGGUAUAUUUCUUCUAAAGCUAAAUAUUGGCCAGAGACCGAUAGCGCACAAGUAGAGUGAUCGAAAGAUGAAAAGCACUUUGGAAAGAGAGUUAAACAGUACGUGAAAUUGUUGAAAGGGAAGCGCUUGCAAUCAGACUUGCACUUGGUGUUCAUCAGGGUCUCGUACCCUGUGUACUUCAUCAAGUUCAGGCCAGCAUCAGUUUGAGUGGUUAGAUAAAGGCUUAGAGAAUGUGGCCCUCUUCGGGGGGUGUUAUAGCUCUAGGUGCAAUGUAGCCUACUUGGACUGAGGACCGCGCUUCGGCUAGGAUGCUGGCGUAAUGGUUGUAAGCGACCCGUCUUGAAACACGGACCAAGGAGUGUACCUAUAUGCGAGUGUUUGGGUGUUAAACCCAUACGCGUAAUGAAAGUGAACGCUGUGAGAACCCUUAAGGGUGCAUCAUCGACCGAUCUGAUGUCUUCGGAUGGAUUUGAGUAGAGCAUAUUGGGGUGCVACCCGAAGAUGUGAUCUUUACCUGAAWAGKKAAGCCGARGAAYUCYGKKGAGC
rnacentral:rRNA from 1 species